GGCGUAGUGGCGAAGUGGAAACGCUGUGGUCUGCAAAACCACCAUGCGCCGGUUCGAUUCCGGCCUACGCCUCAA
rnacentral:tRNA from 3 species